rnacentral:lncRNA from 1 species
UUUUGAUAUGGUGGUGAGACUUGGCUGCAUAUAGCCCAGGUCCAUCUCCAGCUCACUAUGUGGUAGGUCCUGCCUCUGCCUCCUAAAUGCUGAGAUUAUCCUUACCUGUCACACGCAUGCGCACACACACACAACCUACCAGUAAAAGCCUUCCAUUUUUAAGUCAGCAUUUUUAAAGUUUAGUACCUGUUUUCUUGGGAGUCUUGAAGUAGUAGGUACAGUCAACUUGAACCCAUGCCACACUGCAGUAAGUGUCCUUUUGGAGAGUGUCAUAACUGUGACCAUUCUCUAGGUUCUCCUUCGUGUUCCCGAUGUUGCCACAGUGCCUCUGCUCAGAGCUGCCACUGUCGUGUGUGCUGCUGGCUGUCGAGCUGCUCUCUGUUCUGGUGGACCAGGACAGCCUAGCACAGCAGCUGUGCUCCCACUCAGGUAAAGCAGGGCAGGGCGGCUCUCAACUGUCCUGCAGUGAGAGGGAAGGACUGGGGCAGGUUCAGAGCCCCUCAAGGGCUUCUGUACUUGUACCCCAGGCUACAAUGAAAAGGGGGACCCUGAGUGAGGUCUGGAAUCCUUUUCAGAAGGCUGCCUUCUCCUGAGGCUGUACAUGUACAUUACAUCAAGGCCUGACAAAACGGCCUCAGAGACACAGUGGCUUCAGCUGGAACAAGAGGUAAGACUCUCAGACUCUGCUCACCCUUCACCCUUCAGGAGCCCAGGGCCUCCUCUCCACUUGUGGGAAAAUAGGAGCUACAAUUCAUUUUGGUCAGUGUGUCAAACAGCAGAGGGUAACAUUUAGGGGUUCCUCACACAGAUGCAAUACAAGUGCAUCCUGGGUUGCAGUGGUGCUCAGCAGAGUUGCCUGAUCAUGCUGCCUGGGGCUUGGGGCCUGAUCCUGGUCCUGGAAGCAGUGAGCUGUUGGUGAGAUUCAGGUCUGAGAGCCUGAGGCUACCACUACUUGUACCCCACCUGUGCAGGCAAGCAGUUGUUGAAGUAGCUAGAGCACCUUAGGAAUGCCCGCAGAAGCCUAUGAUAACUGGGUUCCACACAGGGUGAACACCAUGUCUUCUUGUUCCAGGUAGUGUGGCUCUUGGCCAAGCUGAGUGUGCAGAGCCCUUCCCCCGCUGGCAUUGUUUCUGACUGUCAGUGCAAUGUAGAGGCAGUCAGAGCACUCACUGUGAUGUUGCACAGGCAAUGGCUGACUGUGCGGCGGGCAGGGGGUCCAAGGACCCACCAGCAGAAGCAGACGGUCCGCUGUCUGCGGGACACUGUGCUGCUGCUGCACAGCCUAUCUCAGAAGGACAAGCUCUUUACUGUGCACUGUGUCGAGGUCCUGCAUCAGUACGACCAGGUGAUGCCAGGGGUCAGCAUGCUGAUUCGAGCCCUUCCUGAUGUGACUGACUGUGAAGAGGCUGCCCUGGAUGACCUCUGUGCUGCAGAGACAGAUUUGGAAGACGCCGAGAUGGACUGUAGCUGAGGGCCUGAGCAUCCAGCCACAAGGUGGCACUAGCCCCACCGUCUUUGCCACAUCCACUGAUUAAAACUGCACUUCCUGCUGAGAA